UCCAGUCAAUCUAUUGUAUUAACCGUUUCGUUAUUGAAGAAUGUAGGUCACGUUACUAGUUUAUGUAAUUGUGUACGGUUAAUCUGUUUUUAAAAUGUACAAGAUGUUGAUGAGGAUUUUCUUUGUGAUUUUAUCAUACAUCACAGGUGUGCUAUCUAUUCAGUGUGCUAAAUAUGAUAAUAUAUUCGCCAGACAACCGACAUAUAUUUCAUGUGCCUUUGAAUGUUGUGGCAUUGGAAGUAACAGACAUUGCUGUAUACCAGCCUAUAUAAUAGUAUUGUUGGUGUUAGGAGGGUUAGCGUUAUUAGGUGGUACAGCUGUAUUAUUAUAUUGUUUAUGGAAGAGAAGUGGAUCUACGCAUGUCGUACAUUAUUCAUCUGGAUCAGGCAAAUAUCCACCAUACCGACACUGAUGUUAUCGCAGCUUUAAACAUCAUUGAACCAUGAUGACUAAACUAUGGUGCUGUUAAUUCGUGUCCAAACUUUCACCUUUAACUCUUUAACAUAAUGAUUUAUGGUAGACUUUAAUUGAACUAGAACAAUCGGAUUAAAAUACACAUCCCCUUACGUUUCGUUUUUUUAUAGUUCAAAAUUUUAAUCUACUUGCGUUCACUAAUGUAGGAUCUGGAACAGUUGUUAAAUAACCUCUGUUCUUGUUGAUGUGACGAUUAACUAAUCAAAUGGGGUGUUGAGUCAAGUUCUUGCACGAGGAAAGAACUCUGGGUAGAUAUUCGCCGCUAUAGAAAACAGAUCAAAGCAAAAGUAAUAUCUCCGAAUAGUCACUAAAAAAAACCAGACGCUGAAUGGUUAAUUGAAUAAUUAACGUCAUAGGGUCAAAAGAAGCUCGUAUGAUCCCUGAAACGGCCUCCCACUACAGACGGUCAGGUCUUGAUAUAGUGGAGGCCAUUGGAAAUAUAAAAAAACGAAACGAAAUAUAGAUCUGUAUUUUAAUCCAAUUGUCACUAGAAGGAACAAGCCACGACAGCAUAAUCUGAACAAAACACUACAAAUUACUGAAUCUCAAAAAAUGUAUAAUUUCCUCUAGAUGGAGACGCCAUUUGUAAAAAAAUAACGAGAUUAUUUUUGAACACGUGUAUAUAAUCAUUUUAUAAUACGAAUAUUCCCGACCAUAAUAUAUAAUAGUUGAUGUUUAAUAUAAACUGAAAAUACAGAUGUGACGUCACCCUUUGAUGUUGCAUUAUUUAUAUAUCUACACCUAGUUGAAAUAUUGGACGAUUUCAUUGAAAUACAGUAUCCAAAUAGAUUUUUUGUACAUACACAUAACGAAAUGUAAGAAAUGUUAUAUUAUAAACUUUUAUAGCCUUUUUAUCUUAAUAAAAUAUUAUAAUACCGUC